rnacentral:rRNA from 1 species
CCUACGGGUGGCAGCAGUGAGGAAUAUUGGUCAAUGGGCGUAAGUCUGAACCAGCCAAGUAGCGUGAAGGAUGACUGUUCUAUGGGUUGUAAACCUCUUUUAUAAGGGAAUAAAACGCGGGACGUGUCCCGUUUUGCAUGUACUUUAUGAAUAAGGAUCGGCUAACUCCGUGCCAGCAGCCGCGGUAAUACGGAGGAUCCGAGCGUUAUCCGGAUUUAUUGGGUUUAAAGGUUGCGUAGGUGGGUUGUUAAGUCAGUGGUGAAAGUUUGUGGCUCAACCAUAAAAUUGCAAUUGAUACUGGCAGUCUUGAGUACGGUUGAGGCAAGCGGAAUGCGUGGUGUAGCGGUGAAAUGCUUAGAUAUCACGAAGAACCCCGAUUGCGAAGGCAGCUUACCAAGCCAUGACUGACGCUGAUGCUCGAAAGUGUGGGGAUCAAACAGGAUUAGAUACCCUAGUAGUC